rnacentral:tRNA from 1 species
GCACCGGUGAUGCAAUGCGCAGCAUCGCUGCCCGGAAGGCAGAAGGUGCGGGUUCAAGUCCCGCCUUGCGCG